GUUUAUUGAUCCCAGUUGUAAACACACCAUGGCAGGAGUCGGAGGCGAUGGAUCGCUCCUCCUCGCCCUUUCUUCCUCGUUCCUCGUCCAGAGUGUGAGUGGCAAGCCCUCGACGGGGACGGAUCUGGAAAUAGACGAGAAGUAUCAGAACACGCAUAGGAUUGACAGCUUGAAUAUCCUAUUAUACACCUUUUUGCUUAUCCUGACGGUGGUAACGAUAUGGAUCUUCAAAUACCGAAGGGCGAGGUAUUUACACGAGACCGGCCUGGCUGUCAUAUACGGUUUGAUAGUUGGCGCCAUCUUGAGGUACAGCGGAGACAACACCCCCGUCAGCCACAUGCUGGUCGACCCCAAAGAGCCACAGAUUUACCAGGGGGAUGCUCCUCCAGACACUCUCUGGCUGAAAUAUGGAGGUAAUGUAAAUAUCACUCAGAACAGAACAUAUGCAUAUUCCUUCAGGGGAGAGAUUCCUGAGAGCUUAGAAGAUGAGAUUGUUCAGAAGGCGACGUUCGAUCCUGAAAUCUUCUUUAACAUCUUGCUGCCACCUAUCAUCUUCAGUGCUGGCUACAGUCUCAAGAGGAGACAUUUCUUCAAGAACCUGGGUGCCAUCUUCACAUUUGCCUUUCUGGGGACAACCAUAUCAACUUUUGUAGUUGGUGGCUUAGUGUACGGCUUCCUGUGGCUGCUGAGCUCAAGCUUCUCAUUCAUCGAUUGCCUUUUAUUUGGCGCUCUUAUCUCCGCCACCGACCCAGUCACAGUGCUGGCCAUCUUCUCCGACCUCCAUGUUGACGUCAACCUCUAUGCCCUGGUAUUUGGAGAGUCGGUUCUCAACGAUGCAGUUGCCAUUGUCUUAUCUAGUGCCAUCGAAAGCUACGGUAGCGCCAGCGGAGGCUUUGAGACGUCAGCCUUCUUCCUGGCCAUCCUCAAUUUUCUGUGGAUCUUCAGCAUGUCAUUCCUCAUCGGCUCUGUCAUGGGCUGCCUCACUGCCAUCCUCACCAAGUUCACACGGCUCAAGGACUUCCCGCUUCUGGAGACUGCACUCUUCGUCCUCAUGUCGUACUCUACCUUCCUCAUGGCUGAGGCGGCAGAUUUGACAGGUAUUGUGGCUGUGCUCUUCUGCGGAAUCUGCCAAGCCCACUACACCUACAACAACCUCUCAGCUGAGAGUCGCGUGGCCACCAAGACGCUGUUUGAGCUCCUCAACUUCCUGUCAGAAAACUUUAUCUUCUCGUACAUCGGGGUCUCCAUGUUCACCUUUGACCACCACAAGUGGGACGUGGGAUUCAUCUCCAUCGCCUUUGUAGCCAUCAUUGCUGGGCGCUUCAUGUGCGUCUACCCUCUCUCCUUCCUGCUGAACCUCGGACGGACCCCAAAAAUCCCCAUCAACUUCAUGAACAUGUUGUUCUUCUCGGGUCUCAGAGGAGCCAUCGCCUUUGCACUUGCCAUUCGCAACACCAGCAGCAGCGCGCGGAAGGCCAUCCUAACUACAACGUCGCUGAUAGUUAUCAUAACUGUGAUAUUAUGCGGCGGCCUUACCACCCAGGUCCUCUCAUGGCUCGGGAUACCAGUUGAUGUAGAGGAUGACGAGACCCAUCACUUAACCACGUCGUUCCAGCCAAUCAGAAAUGAUUACAAAAGCAUUGACGAAGGCAGGGGCCCAGGGGCAGAGGAUGGUGGAGAAGGGCCUGUGGAGGGUGUAAGUAGCAGCUCCAGCAAGUAUGAGAAGGCCUGGCUCUUCCGCAUCUGGUCGCAAUUUGACGUGAGGUUCAUGAAGCCCUUCCUGACCAACAGUCGGCCCACUCUGCUGGACACGACACCCCUCUGCUGUGCUCCCCUAGCGAGGAUCCUCACCACAACCGAACAGCUGACACAGCAGGAGCGCGAUUCUGGGGAUAACCGUAGCCAACUCAGUAUUGACGCCCAGAAUUUCAUGUAACUAACAACCCCCUGUUCACCAACCAUCACCACAACCACCACUAACUACUACUACUACUACUACCACUACUACUACUACCACCUCCAUGGAACAGCUAACUCCUGAACGACCAGACUGAAUAUAACCAACUCACUGUACGACGGUGACCUGGGGUUGGGCUCGAGCAGCAGCGUGCCCACCCGGGUAUCCGUGGCUGGUUCCCGGGGCCAAGACCUGUAGAGACGGCGAAUGGCUGUGUCCAAUGUCUCGUGUAUUAUUGUUUGAUAACGAUGUGUUUGUAGUCACAAGGGGCUGUAGGAAGUGCAGAUCAUGGAUGGCUGUUUGGCGUUGUAAUUGAUGGACAAUGUCUAGCAAAAGUGUCACAUUCUGUUUAUUGCUUCUUUUUUUUUUUUACAUGUACUUGGAUUUGAAAGUGUUUCAUAGCCAGAAGACUGGCUUUUAUGGAUGAGAGGGAUUUAUUUAUUAUUAUUUUUUCUAUCUCUCUUUAGGGUUAGAGAUGUUUGAGACUAAGAUUGACUUUUAUGGAGUAUAUAUACACAUUUUUUUUUCCAUUCAUUACAUUGUUCUGUUUCUUCUGUCUUGUCUUCACAUUAGGGUUACAUUGUUGAGAUUACAACGUAGGAAGUCACAGUGACAGUACUUUCCAUAGUGUGUACAUAUUAAACACGUGAAAGAUGUGGUUGCUUGUAUUUGUCUGUCAGAGGUUUGCAAGGGAGUGUGUAUACUUCAUUUCAGCGUGCCAAGAACAAAAUCACAUGCCAGAUUAAGAAAAGAGAAAGAAAAAAGAAAAGUGAUUUACUCUCUUUCUAUCAUUAUUCCUUUUUUUUUUGUUCUUUUAUUUAUUUUAUAUAUAUGUAUAUGUAUUUUCUUUAAAGGUGUAAAGGUUUGGGACUUCCUUGUUUAGAAUAGGAAAGUUUUGUUGGUAAAACACUUCAUGUCAGAAUCUGCAUAGUGCAGAAGAAAUAAGUGAAUUAAAAAUAUUUGUUGAUGCUAUACUUCAGAAUUUCUCUCUCUCACUCAUAUUCUCUCUCUUUCUCUCUCUCUCUCUCUCUCUCUCUCUCUCUCUCUCUCUCUCUCUCUCU
rnacentral:misc_RNA from 1 species